rnacentral:misc_RNA from 1 species
UGUCUCUGUGUGUGUGUGUGUGUAAUGGCCACUUCCUAUUCACCAAUAAUGGAGCAUGAACAAGGAGGGCAUGAUUAUGAAGGAGAGAGGUCUACAGCUAGUGGAUGCAAUUGCUUUCAGCUCUUCCCCUUCAAAUGGCAUCAAAACAAUGACUAUGAAAAUAGGCAUCUUCUGAACCGACAGAAAGGAGAUAAUCAGCAUGAAGAAUCAUGGGUGAUGAGGCAACUGAAGAAGGUGAAGGAGGUUUCAGAGGUAGUGGCUGGCCCAAAAUGGAAGACCUUCAUUAGAAAGGUAGGUGGAUAUAUCAAGAACACGAAGAAACAAAAGAAUAAUUAUGAUAAUCAGUUCCAUUAUGAUCCAGAAAGCUAUGCUCUUAACUUCGAUGCUGGUGUUGAUAGAGAAGAUGAUUUGCUGCUUCCUGUUUUCUCUUCAAAGCUUGCUGCUGUUCCUUCUUCUAAUUCUUCAGUAGAGGAUAAACGACAAAAAGGGCUGUGAUCUGU